GACGUAGGGCGCGAGCGUUGUCCGGAAUUACUGGGCGUAAAGCGCGCGUAGGUGGUUUGUUAAGUUGGAUGUGAAAGCCCCGGGCUCAACCUGGGAACUGCAUCCAAAACUGGCAAGCUAGAGUACGGUAGAGGGUGGUGGAAUUUCCUGUGUAGCGGUGAAAUGCGUAGAUAUAGGAAGGAACACCAGUGGCGAAGGCGACCACCUGGACUGAUACUGACACUGAGGUGCGAAAGCGUGGGGAGCAAACAGG
rnacentral:rRNA from 1 species